UGUGGGUAAUGUGAGGGCGUACCAGGGCCACGAAAAGGAGCCGACAGGAGCGGGUGAGCGGACACAUUGGAACGGAGACACGGUCCAGACGCCUGCGGGAGGCAGCAGUGGGGGAUAGUGAACAAGGGGGGAAAGCCGGAGGCAGCAAGGCCGCGUGAGUGAGGAAGGCCGUCGGGUGGUAAAGCGCUGUCCUCAAGGAAGAUAAGGACGGUACGUGAGGAGGAAGGCCCGGCGAACUACGUGCCAGCAGCCGCGGUAAUACGUAGGGGGCUAGCGUUAUCCGGAGUUACUGGGCGUA
rnacentral:rRNA from 1 species